UCCUUAUUAGCAAUCUCAUUAACGAAUGAUAGGUCGACACUACAAGCGCAUUUAGUCUUGAUCGGCUUAAUAUGGCAUUAUAGGCUGACGGGACUUUCACGACCAAAAACCUGAGCUAAUGGUUGAUUGUUAUGGUGCUCAUCUUGUUGUUAUCGACAAAGUCACACCCUCUCCAUGGGCAUAGCAUCUACAGAGAAACCC
rnacentral:lncRNA from 1 species